CCUACGGGAGGCUGCAGUGGGGAAUAUUGCACAAUGGGCGCAAGCCUGAUGCAGCCAUGCCGCGUGUGUGAAGAAGGCCUUCGGGUUGUAAAGCACUUUCAGCGGGGAGGAAGGCGUUAAGGUUAAUAACCUUGGCGAUUGACGUUACCCGCAGAAGAAGCACCGGCUAACUCCGUGCCAGCAGCCGCGGUAAUACGGAGGGUGCAAGCGUUAAUCGGAAUUACUGGGCGUAAAGCGCACGCAGGCGGUCUGUCAAGUCGGAUGUGGAAUCCCCGGGCUCAACCUGGGAACUGCAUUCGAAACUGGCAGGCUAGAGGCUUGUAGAGGGGGGUAGAAUUCCAGGUGUAGCGGUGAAAUGCGUAGAGAUCGGGAGGAAUACCGGUGGCGAAGGCGGCCCCCUGGACAAAGACUGACGCCCAGGUGCGAAAGCGUGGGGAGCAAACAGGAUUAGAUACCCGAGUAGUC
rnacentral:rRNA from 1 species